GCCAAGCUUCAGACUUGGGAAAUUCCACCUGGUUUAAAGAUGCAUUGAACAGCUUUACUUUUUUUUCUUGACUAAACAAAAAAAAAAGGAGAAGGAGAGAAAAGAAUCGGAUAUCUGUUGUGAAGAAAGUGGGCAUAUUCUAUUCUCAUAGGAGAAUCCGCCCCAAUGCCAGCCUUGGCUCUAGCUAUCAACCUUUAAACUCGAGUUUCUUGGCCAUUGAAGAGUAUCAAAUCUGCAUCUAAAUCACUUCCUGAGUUAAGAAAAUAAAAGAGGUAAAGGGGAGGUUGAAGGAAGGAGAAUGGCGGCUAAGCUCCCAGUUAAAAAGAAUGAGUCUUAAUUUGCUCAUUUAGGCACCAACUAGAGCAUAUCUAACCAUUUUUGAAGGGUUCCCAAAUUAUAUUUCAAGGCUGGAAAUUUAUUGUAUAGAUUUGAUAUUGAGGCUUGAAAGAUGCUGGAAGUAUAGUUUUGGAAGGGCUAAAUCAUCAACUACGAUAAAUAGAUAGUUGGGGGCAUCAUUGGCGAGGAAUCCUUUGCAGCCGUGUAGGUAAUGGCAUCUCCUAUCUCUCUUCCCGUCGCUCCACUGUCUAGUCGUCGAGUCAUUUUAAAAUUGUAAUGAAUGAUGUGUUUAGGAUUAUUUUGAGACUAAGAUCUUAAAUAUUGUGAAUUUAAAAGUGUGGAGUUAUGUUAUCAAAACACGUGAACUAUUAUUGAGACAUUAUUAUUUCAAUGUGAGUUAUGGAUGA